rnacentral:lncRNA from 10 species
CAUCAUCAUUUUUUUCAGCCACUGUGAGUAUUCUCUGCCCAUUGCAUGAAGUAGACAUCAAAGAAUCUUAGGUUUGAUUCUUUGCUUCAAAACUUGGUAGCUUUGAAAUGAGGUGAGAUUAUUUAAUGUUCUCAUUUGAAUUUCUCAUCUAUAAAAUUGGGAUAAAGAAAGAACUACAUCACUGUGUUGUAGUGACAACUAAUUUAAAUAAUAUGAGUGAAGUGUCUACUAUUGUAUGGAGUAGGUUCUCACUAAAUGACAUUUCCUUUACCCAAUAUUGGCAUUAAAUUUGUUGAUUUGUAAGCUUCAUUAGUCUGAUGCAGUCCCCUAGGGCCUGCUCAUCCUUGGAGAAGGUAAUCAAAUCACAUUACGGAUCCUGCAAAACUGCAGACAGGAUCAGG